AUGUGUGAAGAGCAUGACAAUGGAUGCAAACACCCUGGUCUUACUCUUCCAGAAGAAAAAGGGAAAACCGAACCUGAAUGUCCCCUGAAAGUGAAGAAAUGUCCACACUUCUAUGUGCAGAUUGGUCAAAAGGAGAUACUGGGGCUUAGAGCCCCUCUUGGUUUAAUAUAUGUGCUCUGGGGUAUUUUCCGGUGACCGUCUUCAACAAGCAAGAAAAGAGAAAAAACAACUUGGUUGAGAGUUAUGUUCCUGCUAUGUAUUAUCUACCUAUGCAUGUAAUAUUGAAGAUUUCAUUCAAUGGGUUAUAGCAACUCAUAGCAAACUGGCAGCAGAAAUAGUCUUUGAUUUUUAAAUAAAAGUUCUCUAACUGAAACUUUUUGAUACUGGAAUUAUCUUCCUUUCCCUUUCUAUUAUUCUCUUAUUGAGUUAUAAGGAAACAGAAAAUAGAGAGAUUCAGCCCAGCAGUAUGCUUUUUUUUGUUUUGUUUUUUGAGGCAGGGUCACACUCCGUCACCCAGGCUGGAGUGCGGUGGCCCCAUCUUGGCGCACUGUAAUCUCCGCCUCCUAGGUUCAAGUGAUUCUCCUGUCUCAGCAUCCCAAGUAGCUGGGAUUACAGGCAUGUGCCAUGAGGCCCACCUAAUUUUUGUAUUUUUAGUAGAGAAGGGGUUUCACCAUGUUGGCCAGGCUGGUCUCAAAUCCCUGGCCUCAAGUGAUCUGCCCACCUUGGCCUCCCAAAGUUCUGGGAUUAUAGGCAUGAGCCACUGUGCCCAGCCAACAGUAUACUUUUAAUGGAGUAAAGUGAGACCCAAGUUGUCUCAUUCUAAGUCACACUAGAAUAAAAUUUAUAUAGAAUUUAUAAAGAAUAAGAUAUUGGCAAGGACUCUGAGAUAGAUGGCACUGUUAUUUGGAAUUGCUUACUCUCAUACUUAGAGAGAGUGAAUACAUCACUGCCCAUUGCCAUGUGAUGUGCAAUGCUCCUUCCUGAGAGAGUCUUACUUUUGCUUCAUUCAUGCCUUAUUUACAGAAUGCCUUGGCCAUAUGAGUAGCUCUGAAUAUGAGUAGCUCUGACCAGUGAAAUAGGAGUAAACGUGAUGUAUAGCAUUGCUCACUGGAAGCCUGUAGAGCAUUCAUUGCAUGGUUGCAGCAUUGCUUUUCUUCUUUCAUAAGAUCAAAAUAGGGCUGUUCUUUAAGCCUUGGUCCAGCAGUGAAGACAAUAAGAGGCAAAGCCGCAACUGAACAGUGAAGGAUGAGUAACAUGUGCAAGAAAUAAACCGUUGUUGCUGUAAGGUUGUUGCCACUAAGAUUGUUGGGGUUGUUUAUUACUGCAAAAUAACCUAGAAAAACUAUUAGCAAACUUAAUGUAAACUCAAAAAAGAACUAAAGCACUCAUAUGAAUAAUUGUGCCUCUUAACACUCACAUUCUAAGAUAAGCUUCCUCCCUGCUUUUUUCUCCUUUUCUUUCAUUUUUUUCUUCAUUCAUGUUUGUGUGUGUGUACACACAUACAUAAAAAUUUGGUCAUCCAUAGUAAAAUCAAAUGUGCUUUUAAUAACUUUAGAACUGAUCAUUUCAAAAUACUGAGCAUUCUUAAGCUGAAAUUGAAACUUGGAAAAAACCACCACAAAGCUAACCUUAAAAAUGGAAAUAAAACAACCAAAAAUGAAGAUGGAGUCAAUUAGAUCUUGGAAUUGCUAGGGCAAACAAAAGAAAAGUUUUAAUUUUCUGUUUCCUGAAUGUUCAAUUUUCUUUUCUCUUUCUCUCCCUUGUUCAAUAAAAUGAGAAAAACUCUAUGACUAUAUUUUAUUUUCACCAUUAUUAUACACAAGGUAGUAAGAAUACUAAUGCAACCAAGAAUGAUUUAAGUCUAUCUCUAUGCCAUUCAUGGAAAGAAAAUCAAUAACCAUCCUGAAAUUGAUAAUGUAAUACUUCUCUAUUAGAUAUGAUAUCACUAGUAAUAUUUCUGCUUAGUCAAGGAGGGGAAAAUGACUCAUUUGCUCAUCUACUCUUCUUUUUUCUCAUCAAUUCUUUCUCUUGUCAGGACUGUGCUUUCCCUGGACAUGAUGAAAACACAAGAUUGAGUGCCAUCCUAUUUAUUGUUAUGGUUUUCCUAAUCUAAACUAAGCCUACUUUUGAAAUUUCCUGGAUGAAAAGGUGGUUAAAUCCCAAAUGCUUAUGGUUCUUCAAAAAUAUAAACAUUCUUUCCCUCUGGGAUAAUAGAAAGCAUACUUUUAGAAUGAUUCUCUUGGUAUUAAUUCAUAUGCUCUAUUUGAUUUUUUCCAAACUGGUAUUUAUUCAGUGGUCAUGCAACUUUAGAAAUUAAGCUAACAAAUGAUAAU
ensembl:lncRNA